rnacentral:tRNA from 1 species
GGAGAGGUGGCCGAGUGGUUGAAGGCGCACGCUUGGAAAGCGUGUAUACGGGCAAUCGUAUCAAGGGUUCGAAUCCCUUUCUCUCCG